UCCGAUUUAGUCACACAGCGAGAGAAAUAAUGGAGAAAUUCAUAAUUUUACUUUUCCUUGCAGCAUUAAGUAUAAGUCAAGCCCAACGUUGUGGAAGAAAAAAAACAUUUGACCACACUUCUAAUGCAGAUUGGAACAGAAGGAUGUAUGCUUAUCCUGGUCCUGUCCGUUAUGAUCCGUUCGUAAAUAGAAUGUCCGUGUUAAGAAACCAAGCAAAUUUACCAAGAGACCAAGCAUAUUCGCCAAGAGACCAAGCAUAUUCGCCAAGAGACCAAUCAUAUUCGCCAAGAGACGAAUCAUAUCCGCCAAGAGACCAAUCAUAUUCUCCAAGAGACCAAUCCUAUUUACCAAGAGGAGGAGGAAACAUAAAACUGGGAAAAUAGAAAUAACUUCUGUGACAACAACUGUUCUUAACGAACAUUAGAAAGAAAUCAUACAUAAAUUACCUUGUGAAGACGAAGAACGA